rnacentral:rRNA from 1 species
GAUGAACGCUGGCGGCGUGCCUAAUACAUGCAAGUCGAGCGAAUGGAUUAAGAGCUUGCUCUUAUGAAGUUAGCGGCGGACGGGUGAGUAACACGUGGGUAACCUGCCCAUAAGACUGGGAUAACUCCGGGUAACCGGGGCUAAUACCGGAUAACAUUUUGAACCGCAUGGUUCGAAAUUGAAAGGCGGCUUCGGCUGUCACUUAUGGAUGGACCCGCGUCGCAUUAGCUAGUUGGUGAGGUAACGGCUCACCAAGGCAACGAUGCGUAGCCGACCUGAGAGGGUAAUCGGCCACACUGGGACUGAGACACGGCCCAGACUCCUACGGGAGGCAGCAGUAGGGAAUCUUCCGCAAUGGACGAAAGUCUGACGGAGCAACGCCGCGUGAGUGAUGAAGGCUUUCGGGUCGUAAAACUCUGUUGUUAGGGAAGAACAAGUGCUAGUUGAAUAAGCUGGCACCUUGACGGUACCUAACCAGAAAGCCACGGCUAACUACGUGCCAGCCGCCGCCGUAA